rnacentral:rRNA from 1 species
UCUUGGGCAAUGGGCGCAAGCCUGACCCAGCCAUGCCGCGUGUGUGAAGAAGGCCCUCGGGUUGUAAAGCACUUUCAGUGGUGAAGAAAAGCUCGAAGCUAAUACCCUCGAGUCUUGACGUUAGCCACAGAAGAAGCACCGGCUAACUCCGUGCCAGCAGCCGCGGUAAUACGGAGGGUGCGAACGUUAAUCGGAAUUACUGGGCGUAAAGCGCACGUAGGCGGUUCGUUAAGUGGGAUGUGAAAGCCCCGGGCUUAACCUGGGAACUGCAUUUCAGACUGGCGGACUAGAGUACGGUAGAGGGCGGUGGAAUUCCCUGUGUAGCGGUGAAAUGCGUAGAUAUAGGGAGGAACAUCAGUGGCGAAGGCGGCCGCCUGGAUCGAUACUGACGCUGAGGUGCGAAAGCGUGGGGAGCAAACAGG